AAAAAAGGGGGGUGAGGGGCUGUCGCUCGACUUUUUGACACAAAAUGCGUGCACGCCGGAUCUCGUCCUCUCUCUCACAUAGAAUCCAUCUCACCUUUUUGUGCACCACCGCGCGGGCACCCUUUGGAAUGCUUGCGUUUUCACACAAACCCCUUUUAAAAAAGUGUAGAAUGACCCCACUUUGCUAUGACACGCAAUCUAUACAACUUUCAACAACGGAUCUCUUGGCUCUCGCAUCGAUGAAGAACGGCAACGAAAUGCGAUACGGAAUGAGAAUUGCAUAAAUCAGUGAAUCAUCCACUCUUUGAUCGCACCUUGCCCCCCUUGGUAUUCCCAGGGAAAUCCCCGUUUGAGUUGCCGUGAAAAUCUCAACCUUCUCGGGUUCCUCUGGACACCGAAGAAGCUUGGCCUUUGGAGGCCUUUGCUGGUGGCUCUCUAGAGCAGCUCCUCUUAAAGAAUUACGAGGUCCUCUUUGCCGAUCUUUGCAUGGAUAGAUGUUUCCCGACUCGUGUCAGGAUCUGUGCCGUGGACUGCUUCUACCGCUCAAGAUACAUGUUGAAAUGUCUCCCUCCGCAGAUCUCUGACGCAGAAUCCUUGACUCAAUCGGUGAGACACCGCUGACUAAGCUAUCAUAGGCGAGAAGGUGGUCAUUGCAGUAGCGGGCGAAUCGCAA
rnacentral:misc_RNA from 1 species